UCUUAUGCAACGUCCAGGUCGGGAUAUAUCAUCUUGGAGUCAUGAUAUGUGCGGUUGUUUUUCAGGCUCAUUGUAGGAUGACCACUGGAAAUGGGCUUCACAAGUGUAGAGGUUAAAAUUAUAAGUUUCAAUUGCUAAAAAAAGCCUGCCCAGCACUAGAUAUGUACCUCCUGGAGAAAGGGGGCCGAUUCCUUCAGUGGAUUUUCCUAGUGAAUCAGUAACUUUUAAUUAGAGGCNNNNNNNNNNNNNNNNNNNNNNNNNNNNNNNNNNNNNNNNNNNNNNNNNNNNNNNNNNNNNNNNNNNNNNNNNNNNNNNNNNNNNNNNNNNNNNNNNNNNCAUAUCAGGUUAACCGACUGGAUACCACUCGGUACAUCGUAACCCCCCUGGAGGGAAACGGUCGUGCGUUUCCACGUGCAUUUAUUAGCAUUUAGGGCGUACGUUACCUGUAACGUACACAUUCAAUCGCCACUACUCCACCCCUGUACCAGAACCGUUGUGGAGGGCCGCGCACUCUAUAUAAGCCACCCUUCCCCACUGGUAAAGUGGUUAGCAACUCAUUGUAUUCCCUAUUCCACUCGACAACAAAGCUCCCUAAGCACUGAGACGUAGGGCUAUUACCUCCACCGCAGAGGGGCCUGAACUCAUACAUCCUCGCCGUAGCUAGGACUCUGCCCAUCCUUUUCGUACCCUACACAUCUAUUGUCAGGCUUAUACCCAUGACAGUUGGCACCCACCAUGGGGCAGGCGUCUAACCGACUUCCGGCAAGUUUGCGACUACUUCCUUUCGUCAUGUCGUCCGGUGGAGGUUCGAGUAUGGGUCACCAGAUCUUCUUCGACGCUCUCUCCUUCAUCAUCGACGAUUCGGCGUGGCUUCGGGAUGCUCCUCUCGACGUGGAGGCACUUCCCCGUCGUGGGGCUACGCACUUCCGUGCCGGCGCCCGCGACAUUCUUCUUCUCCAACAGUCGGCUCCGGUGUCGACCUGCACCGCCGUCGCGCGCCGCAGCAAGCGGUCUCGCCGUCCGCGGCUCCAGCGUUUGGUGCAACACGCCCAGGCGUGCCAGAGCGCAUCUUCACAAGUGGCGGUUCUAGAGUCCGUUGUGGUUGCCCCGCCGUCCCAGCACUCGAACUCGGUUCCGACUGAGUUUCCUUCCGAGUAUGCGAGUCGCGGGCCCGCAGCAGAAGUACACAUGGCCAACUCCCAUGAAGAUCCCCGUCAUGCUGGACGGAGCGAGCGCGAGGUCGACGAAGCAUCCGGUGCGCGCCGUCCACCUCGCCGUUCUGCCAGUCGGCACACUCAACGGAGCAACGUGGAGUUGUUUCGCACGCCCCUCCUCAACUUGGCUGCGGCUGCCAAGAUAGCCGAUUCCCUCCAGCGGACUGAUUCAGAGGCAGGAAGGGGGAUCGAGCAGAUCCGAGCCGUGUUGCACACGGCGCAGCAGCAGAAUUCAGCGGUCUCCCAGUCACACAACCAGAUCUAUAAUAGUCCCGUUCAUGCGAAUACGCAUCGGUCGGUUCACAGCCCUGGUUCCCAUCAACGCCACAGGGGAGGCAGCCGUUCCAUGAUUCACGAAGAUCGCCGCCGCUCACGCACCCCUCCGCGGGGUGGGACCUAUGGGUCCCGACAUCAUGAUGAUCGGCGUUCAGUCGGCGACACUUACGACCCAAGACCCGACGCAAGAGGGCGUAUCACCCAGCGAAGGGUCGACAGGGGCCGAGCCCACCGCGAUGGUCGCGAUAUGGACCGUCUAAGUGGAAGCAGGACCAUCGUGUCUGGCCCCGAGUGUUUUAGUCGAGCCAUCCGCUCGGCUGACAUCCCGCCCAACUUCCGAUUGGCGGCGGGGAAUCAGUAAGUUUACACGAGAGUCCAAGCCAGAAACUGUUGGAAAUAUGCCCUAGAGGCAAUAAUAAAUUAGUUAUUAUUAUAUUUCUUAGUUCAUGAUAAUCGUUUAUUAUCCAUGCUAUAAUUGUAUUGACAGGAAACACAAUACUUGUGUGGAUACAUAGACAAAACACUGUCCCUAGUAAGCCUCCAGUUGACUAGCUCGUUGAUCAAAGAUGGUCAAGGUUUCCUGGCCAUAGGCAGGUGUUGUCACUUGAUAACGGGAUCACAUCAUUAGGAGAAUCAUGUGAUGGACUAGACCCAAACCAAUAGACGUAGCAUGUUGAUCGUGUCAUUUUGUUGCUACUGUUUUCUNNNNNNNNNNNNNNNNNNNNNNNNNNNNNNNNNNNNNNNNNNNNNNNNNNNNNNNNNNNNNNNNNNNNNNNNNNNNNNNNNNNNNNNNNNNNNNNNNNNNUUUCUUCUUCUUCUCCUCUUCCUUCUCCUUCUCCUCCUCCUCCUCCUUAUUUUACUUCUUCUUCUCUUUCUCUUCUUCUACGUAGCUUAGACUCAUCCAGCAAAGCCUAAAUUGGCGAAUUAUCCAUCUAAAUGACAUAAUUAGCUUAGUUAGCUCCUAAAUGACCUAUUUAAUAAAAAAUGACCUAUACUUAGCUAAUUAUCCUCAAAAUGACAUAAUUAACUCCAAAAAGGCAUUCUUAGCCAAUUUAGCCCGAAGAAGGGGACGAGAGGAGAAGAAAGAGGAAAAAUGAAAGGAAGGAAGAAGAAGAAGAGGAGAAGAAGAAGAAGGAGAGGGAGGAGGAUAAGAAGAAGGAGAAGAAGGAGGAGAAGAAGGAGGAGAAGAAGGAGAAGGAGCUCCUCCUUCUCCUUCUUCUUCCUCCUUUUUCCUCCUUCUCCUUCUCCUUCUUGUUUUCUUAUCCUCCUCCUCCUCCUCCUCCUCCUCCUUCUUUUACUUCUUCUUCUCUUUCUCUUCUUCUACGUAGCUUAGACUCAUCCAGCAAAGCCUAAAUUGGCUAAUUAUCCAUCUAAAUGACAUAAUUAGCUUAGUUAGCUCCUAAAUGGUCCAUUUAAUAAAAAAUGACCUAUACUUAGCUAAUUAUCCUCGAAAUGACAUAAUUAGCUCCAAAAAGGCAUUCUUAGCCAAUUUAGCCCGAAGAAGGGGACGAGAGGAGAAGAAAGAGGAAAAAUGAAAGGAAGGAAGAAGAAGAAGAGGAGAAGAAGAAGAAGGAGAGGGAGGAGGAUAAGAAGAAGGAGAAGAAGGAGGAGAAGAAGGAGAAGGAGCUCCUCCUUCUCCUCCUUCUUCCUCCUUCACCUUCUCCUUCUUCUUUUCUUCUUCUUCUCCUCUUCCUUCUCCUUCUCCUCCUCCUCCUCCUGUCAACUUAAUCCAAUUUGGCGAGACUUCUCCUUCUCCUCCUCCUCCUCCUCCUCCUUCUUUUACUUCUUCUUCUCUUUCUCUUCUUCUACGUAGCUUAGACUCAUCCAACAAAGCCUAAAUUGGCUAAUUAUCCAUCUAAAUGACAUAAUUAGCUUAGUUAGCUCCUAAAUGGUCUAUUUAAUAAAAAAUGACCUAUACUUAGCUAAGUUCUCUCCUAAAUGAUAUAAUAAGGCUUACGUAGCUGCAACAUGACCUAUUCCCCCUAACUUAGGUAUUAAAUGGCUUAUAAUUAGCCUAGCUAGAUCAAAAAUGGCUUAAUAAGCAUAGUUUGCUCCGGAAUGACCUAUUUGACCCAAGUUAGCUCCAAAACGACCUAUAGUUAGCUAGGGUUCCACCUAAAUGACAUAAUUAGCUUAGUUAGCUCCUAAAUGGUCUAUACUUAGCUAAUUUCUCUCCGAAAUAACCUAUAUAUACACUACUUCAUCUAGUAUUAUUCUUCUAACUUUCUUAUUUGUCAUUUUGCAGAUUACCUUCACUUCACGGGAAGCUUGUAAAAUAUUGAUGGAAUGCUUGAAGAUGAUUUCUUGUACCAUGGGUUGUAUUGAAACUAUUGUAGUAUAUGAAUAUAUGAAACUUUGUAUGCACGUGGAUGAAACUGCUGUAAUAUAUGAAACUUUGUAUGCACGUGGAUGCAACUUGAAAGCUGGAUAUAAGAGGUUAUUUUAAUAUGGUUACGAGUACGGAAAGAAAUUUAUUUAUGUCAAAUAUAUAUNNNNNNNNNNNNNNNNNNNNNNNNNNNNNNNNNNNNNNNNNNNNNNNNNNNNNNNNNNNNNNNNNNNNNNNNNNNNNNNNNNNNNNNNNNNNNNNNNNNNCAACUUUCGGUAACCUCGUAUAACAAUUCCCUAUAACCCUAGCGUCACUACAAGAAAUAAGCUCGUUUAUGACAAAAAAUAAUGACGGCGGUUUUAUUGGUCACAGAUCUAUGACUAAAAUAUAAAAAAGGUCAUGAGGUGUCUAAGAGGGUCCAAACCCUAGAAAUUUUUGACCAUCUCUAUCAAGAAGGUCAUAAUCCCAUUGCAUAAAAUGGUCACUGGCAUGUGUAGCUCUAUUUAUGUCCGCAUUAUAGGUCCUCCAUGACAAUAUCAAGAAGGUAAUAGGCUUAAAUAGAGGUUACUAGGCAGACAACUCAACAAUUUUGCUUACGUGUCUUGUAUAUAUUGGUGUUGACAAGGCUCACAAUCCAAUCUUUAUAUUUUGUAUUUUAGCUCAUUGUAAUGUAUCAUAUUUCCCUCAAUAUUUCCCACAAUCUUCGGAUCUUCGUGCGUGAGCCGUCCGAUCUAACUCCUGGCUGGUUCGAUUGCCUCCCCGACACAUUAAUUUUUGAAACAACAAACAAGUUGCAAAACAACCAUCGACCGAUCUUCGUGCACCCCCCGCUUGUCCCGUCCCCGACUCAUUAAUUCCCUAUAAACUGAGGGGCGGAUCCAACCGAGAUUAUCCAUCGGUUGUUGUAUAACGUUUUUUUAAAAACUAUGCUUAAUUCUCAAAAUAAAAACACAGAAUUACAUAUGCUUAAUUUUCAUCGGUGGAAUAAUUUGUGCCACGGAUUGAUGACAUGGCAAACAUCCUACCAUCCGUUCCCAGCAAUCCCAGCAUCCACCGAUCCAUGCAUCCAUCUAAAGAAAAUGAGGAAGGAAAAAAAGGAGCAGUCCACCGCACCAUGGUCUGGAGUACUCCUCUUUCUCUCCGUCCAUGGUGACGAACUACGAGAUCUGGGCAUGAUCCGCUCCAUGGUCCGCUCCAUGGGCGUGAUCCGCUACCUUUUGAUGAGGACGAAUAACGCACGGUGACCGGAGGUGGCUCCACGGUGUUCCUAUGUCCACCCAUCUCCUCCCCUCUAGAGAUUGCGAAGGCGGCGACAGCUACGGCGCUGGAGGGACGACCUGGAGGUGCAGGCUACUCCCCUAUCUUCUGUCAUGCGGUGGUGACCCGGAGGCGGCGUGGGCGGUGCAAUGGUCCUGCCCGAGCUCUCCAGGGACAACGGCCUUCUCCGGUGUCCCUCUCCAUGGCGGUUGUUCUUCUCACUGGUGAGAUCUCCUUCAUCCUCUUAUUUCCUUCUUCUCCUCAAUGAAUUUCUGAAUUUCUAGGGUUAGGGUUCUUUGUUUUUGGGAGCGGUGCAGGAGAAGGGGGUGAUGCUGAGUUUGGCACCCUGCCAUGGAAUCAAUUCAGGUGCAGAUGGAGCUCAUACAGAAGAAGAAGAUGAGCUCAAGUCUACGGAUGAGGAAUCAUGUUAGAGUAUCUUCUUUGUUCUAGCCAAAGGUACUAAUGUUUCUUCUCUGUUUUAGAUGAAUUGUUCCUUCUUUAUUCCUUCGAACUCCACUGUUUUGGAUGAACUAACUCAAUUAAUUAAUUUCUCAUGGAAAUAGGGUAAGAGUGAAAUUUUGUUGGAGGGUGCUUAAUCAGCCAUUCCCUUUCUUAGUAGAGGUUCCUUAUUUUAAUAAGGUAAGAACUCCUAUUCCAUUGUGCUUAAGGCUAAUGAUGAAUGAUUGUAUAAUAGCUAGUUUUCUUAUGUGGGUGCUUGGAAACAUUACGUUGGUGGGCACUGAGCCACUGGACCCUCACCCAGCCUGUCAAUAUUCACGGAAGUUGCAAAUUCGGGUUAGUUUUGACAUGUUUGUUAUUUUACAUUCGACUAAAAAAAUCACAUUCAUUCGAUUUUCUGCUCCUUUUCAUUCGGUGCUGAGCUUCCUGCUAAAAUCUCGGUGUGGAGGGAGGGAGAAAGAGGGGAGAGAGGGAGGGAGGGAGGGAGAAGCAGGCCCGUGAAACAAAUUAGUAUCUUUUGGUGCUAUGGGACUUCUAUUCAUAUGUUUUAGGUUACCUUCUUUCAUGGUGGCAUGCAUCUGCCUUACAGAAAAUAGGAGUGGAUGCUUUCCUAGUCAUGGUGGCAUGUGCUACAGUCUCCUCUAGUGUUUUAACUUCCUACUUUGAUGGAUAUGGUAAAAUGCAACGAUACUCAAUUCGUCCAUAUUUUUCUUCUGGUCGUCUUUUUUGUUAUUUUUAGUAUGUGACAAAGCUUGAAGAUUUAAAGGCCAUUACCACUUCUCGACCAAAAGUGAUAUACGGGUCAAAAUCUUUGUCCUCAAGAAUCUGGAGGUUGUGAGAGAUCGAGCUGGUUGAAAAGUUUGAAUAAGUGUCAGUGGGUUUUCACACUAUUGGCUGCCAGUCUACUGUUUUUUCAGUUUAACCCACCCUCAAUAUAGGAGUAAUCUUGUAUAACCUGAAAAUGUGAUAGUUCAUUCAAGUUAUAACUUGUUUGUUUUUGUAGCACCAACCAGAUGGUAAUGUCGUAUAUGUAGCGAGCAAUCAACAAUUAUCCUAACGUUGAUUGCUCACUACAUAUACGACAUUACCAUCUGGUUGGUGCUAACGUUUGUUGUAGAUGGUGUGGAAGUACCUCUUUCAAACUAACGUUUGUCGUAGAUGGUGUGGAAGUACCUCUUUCACACUAACGUCUGUUGUAAACCAACCUGAUAGUUUUGUGAAAUUUAAUUGCCUUUCAGGUCUUUACUUACGACAUGUUUUACUCCUUUUGUUUUCUUACUGUCACCAAAAACGCCUCUCACAGAAUUGUUAUGCUGCUUUGUCGUUUUAUUGUUACCAAACAUGCCUCAUGCAAGAAUAUUAAUUAUUGGCCUAUGUUUUCUUACUGUCACCAAAAACGCCUCUCACAGAAUUGUUAUGCUAGGUUUCUCCUUUUCCUUGCUAUAGGGCUCAAAUGCCACAGAAGUUGCUAUAUAUAGGAUUGAACUGUUUCUUGAUAGCUCAAUCCUAUACUGGUUUUAGUUGUUAAAGCACAAGAGGCUUCAUAUUUGUGAAUGUUUUAGAACAGAUAGGUGCACACAGGUGCAGUGCAUGCAUGUUCAUAUUGUGUGCAUCGAUUUGAUGCUUGCAAUGAAUUUCCUUGAGACACAAUUUAACAACAUUCCCCUGACAAUUGAAUAAUUAGUUGUCGUCCUAUACUUGAUAGAAUGAUGCUCCUGCCGUAACUGUAGAUGCAUGCAUGUCUGUAGCAGGAAAUCUUUCUCUUGUUACCUUAUUAUUAUCACUGGUUACAAAGUUCCGAUGGCCUGCAUUCUAUGGUAGUAAACUUGCUAUAUUGUUGGUACUGUGCUUUAUUUUAUUUCUCAUCUGCUCUAACUGCUAGAGAACCAGUGUCCUAAUGGCAUGUAUAAUGGGGUGAUGCCAGUCUUGUCUUUGUAAUGCACCAGCCCGGUUGGAGAUGCUCUUUGUCCAUCUGAUUAGUACUUAGCGGCUUGGUGAACACUGAAUAGAACUAAAAUGAUGUCUAGCUUGUGAGAGAGUUACACAAAGUAAGCCCUGUCCGGAAUACAGGGUAUUUUCCCUGUUCCCAUGGGGAAUAAAAUGGUUCGUGUGAAAUUCUUGCUUUCCAAAAAGGCCCUUAGUUUGAAGAGAUUGGAUUUUGUGCAACCAGUUGCCGACACACCCCAUUAUUCAAUUUUUUUGGAGUUUUCAAAAAAAUGUAGAACAGUUGAUGGAUUUAAUCCCUGCUUGCAUUUUCAUGCAAUUAUUCGAACUAGUUCAUUAAGAUAGCUAAACAUAUGGAUAGAUUUUUAUUGGCCAAGCAUAUGCUUGAGCUGAAAGUAUUAAACUGAUGGUAGCCUGAUGGUGAGCGGAUAAUCCUUGCCUAUUUUAAUGCAGCCAAAUCUGGUUUUACCUGCAUAAUUCUUGCUCAACAUUUGUGCAAAACUAAACAUAUAAUCCUCCUAAAUUGUGAGUUGAAAUGCGGCACAACUGCCAUGUUGGGCUUCGGGCGAUUCAAACGAGUUAUGAUGAGCCUGCAUGUGGGGUAGCAGAAGGUGAUGAUACAGUUGGAUCUGAGUGUGCAAAAUGAACUGUUUUGUUUUGUUUCGCAGGCUGGUCUGCCAUCUAAGAUCUCACCGGCCCCUACAAUGUUUUCGGCGUCGGUGCCUUUGCCGGCAGAGAAUUUUGAUGAUGGAUCAACGGAGGAACCCGAGCAUCCUGAUAUGAAGGUAUUUGUAUUUAUCUCUGCAAUUUUUUGGNNNNNNNNNNNNNNNNNNNNNNNNNNNNNNNNNNNNNNNNNNNNNNNNNNNNNNNNNNNNGACGCUGCUGGUUUUGUCGUGCUCCGCAUUGUCCAGUUACGCUUAUGCAUAGGUUUAUUUAUGGUAUUCUAUUGGAUAUGCAUAUGCUGAUGUACAAUAGGAAUGUCUGCAUGUUGUGCCAUGUUUUUUAUGCACAUAGAAUAUCCGUAUGUCUUAUUAUAGCCUCUAAUUAAAAGUUACUGAUUCACUAGGAAAAUCCACUGAAGGAAUCGGCCCCCUUUCUCCAGGAGGUACAUAUCUAGUGCUGGGCAGGCUUUUUUUAGCAAUUGAAACUUAUAAUUUUAACCUCUACACUUGUGAAGCCCAUUUCCAGUGGUCAUCCUACAAUGAGCCUGAAAAACAACCGCACAUAUCAUGACUCCAAGAUGAUAUAUCCCGACCUGGACGUUGCAUAAGAAAAAGGAAAUGUAACCACCGGUUUUUUCUUAGCUUAUGAGAGAAGAUAGUUAUAGUAGUAGCAUUCAGGUUUCAUCAGUGUGGAGUCAAAAAAAGCAGUCACAAGCACAUGACGACCCUGCAUCAUAUUUCCACCAUUUUCUAAGUAAGAAAACAAUUUUCUACUAUUUUAUCAUUGGUUAUCGUCCGUGCAAUUUUACUAGUUUCCUUGGUCUGAAAGCCUUACCAUCAUUUUCUUCUUGCACGCGGUAAUGGCAAGAGCAUAUUGUGCAGAGGAAGAGGAUGAGUAGAAACUUGUGGUUCUCAUCCAAUCUUCAUGGAACUCUCUUUAGGUGCGAUUGUGCACUUGUUGGGUCCUUUUUUCGUGCGCUUGCACUUGUAGAAGUAUUCUGUUGUGUACAUGUAAAAUUAUUUUGAUGUGCCCUUGUUAGACGUUGAAACUUAAUGCAUGGAGUUGGUGGAUGAUGUAAUGUAUUUGAUGUGAUAUGCUACUGAAAUGAAA
rnacentral:lncRNA from 1 species